rnacentral:rRNA from 1 species
UACGGAGGGGGCUAGCGUUGUUCGGAAUUACUGGGCGUAAAGGGCGCGUAGGCGGCCCGCUAAGUCGAACGUGAAAUCCCCAGGCUCAACCUGGGAACUGCGUCCGAUACUGGCAGGCUUGAAUCCGGGAGAGGGAUGUGGAAUUCCAGGUGUAGCGGUGAAAUGCGUAGAUAUCUGGAGGAACACCGGUGGCGAAGGCGGCAUCCUGGACCGGUAUUGACGCUGAGGCGCGAAAGCUAGGGGAGCAAACGGG